AUGUCGAAAUUCUCAUUAUGAAAUUAUCAAGUGAAAAAAGAGAUACGGUUAUUGCGAAAUUACAACCGAAAACACAAGUCAAAUAAGGAACGUUUAGAAAAUGUUGUCCGAAUGGAUAGUUCGAGUUCCGCUUUUAGUUGCCACAGGAGCAGCGGGAUACAUGUUGCACCAAUACUAUUCGUGGAGAGGCGUGAUACCCGAGGUAAUCUGUGCGCUCGAGGAGGCCAUAUGACGCCAUCGUUUAUAAAACGAAUCCAAACCAUUUGUAGAGAUUUUCUGGGAAUUUAAGAGACGGAUCUACAAGAAGUCACGGCUGCAAGUUUAUUGUUUCAGAAAUUGGAAAAACUGGAAAAAUUUCAAGAAAAUUUCGAAAGUAGUAAUUACAGAAUUACAACAUGAUAUGUAAGAAGUGCAAGUAUAUUUACGACACACAGUACUAUUUCAGUAUACAUAAGUGCCUGAACAUCAAAGCCACCAUG